GCAGGAGAAUUGCUUGAACCUAGGAGGCGGAGGUUGUGGUGAAUCGAUCAUACCAUUGCACUCCAGCCUGGAGACAGAGCGAGACUCUGUCUCAAAAGGAAAAAAAAAGGGCUGUAAAUAAAGAAUCUGGAAAUGUAAAGUACCCCUUUCAGAACUAUAGGCAUUUAGCCUGGGGCCCCACGCCCACCCCUUUUGAGCACUGUUCUUUCUCCUGGAGCCCCUGCACACAAAGCCCAUAGAGAUGUGCCUUUCACUUUUUAAAAGCUUAAGCUUUACAGAAUGAAGUAACGUGGUGGACUCUUGACAGGAACAUUUUCAAAUUAAUGCUGAGGCCAUCUUUCUUAGGGCCGUCCGCAGACUAACCCAUAGGUAAAGAGCAUACAAAACAGACGCUGAGGUGAGCAUAGAUUCCAAAGGAUGAAUGCCAGCCUGCUAUGCUAUAGGACAGAGGGGUGGUCUGUGAAACACUGGCCAUUCCGUGAAAGGCCAGCUUGCUUUCACAUCACAGGGCAGGCGGCGGCACAACAGAGGCUCACACUUGUCGCCUCCAGCCCUUGGAAGCUUCCUGUGGGGCAUGGGGCCAAGGGCUGGCAACAGAGCAUCCUGGGGUUUUGUUACAAGGCUAGGCUUUAAAAUACCUUUAAAAGUUUCAUGUCAUUUCCUCCCAUCUCGUGUCGAGGACUGCCGUGUUUGGGAAAAGGCGUGUUUCUGAGAGACAGAGCUCCAUCUAGUUGUGGGUGAGUGCCUGGCUCAGGAGCUGCCCCAUGGAACAAGCCCUGUCCCCAAGCUGCCCACCUGUGGCUGUGACUCCUUUUCUGAGGCUCCUGACUCCAUUCUUGCAGAUUCUGAUGGAUCAGGAACUUUUAAAUUCUACACAGAGAUGUUUAAAAAAAUGUGAUAGGUUCUGUAAUGGUGGGUGGGAUUAAAAGAAAAAAAUGUUUAAAAAGAGGGAGGAAGGAGAAAAAAAAAAAAAAUAUAUAUAUAUAUAUAUACACAUACACGUACAUACAUGCAUACAUACAUACAAGGGCAAGUGCCGUGGUUCACGCCCCUAAUCCUAGCACUUUGGGAAGCUGAGGUGGGAUGAUUUCUUGAGCCCAGGAGUUUAAGAACAGCCUGGGCAAUAUAGCAAGUCUGUCUCUACCAAAAAAACCCACAUAUAUAUAAUUUGAUGGGUUGUGAGAAGCCACCCCACAAAAAAGGGGGGGGUGUAGAGCAGCUUCCCUUGGCAGGUGCCGUGGCUGCCCCCACAGGUGACAGGCAGGAGGGCUCCAGAACUUCUCCUGUGGUGGGGGUGUCUUCUCCCUGUGAGGAUGCUGAGCAGAGUUUGGAACCCAGACAGUUUCCCUUACUGACGGUUCUCUGGAAAGGAAAAGGGCAUUUAGAAGGAAUAAACAUAGGGCUGAAUAUGGAAUUGAGUUUUAACCUCUUCAGACUGAUGGGUGCAGAUGAGGCUGUGUGGGGCCUCUGCAGCACUGGCUGUGGAGCAGUGUGUUGAUGGGUAAGAGAAGCCAGAGGGCCUCCCUGAAGCCAGCUUGUAGAGGAAGGUUCGUGUUUCAGAGAGGGAAGCAGCAAGGGAAUUUGAGUAUCUGAGUCUCUGAUGUUUGAACCUCCCCCCCCCGCCCCCCCCCCCAGGGGGCGGGGGUUUUAAUUAAUUUCCCAUCUGGUGCUUCUGAAUUUUUGCCUUCAGAGGAGAGAAGUGGUGGGCCCAGCCAUGCCUGCUCCUUUGUGUUGUCUUUCUGGUGAGGGAAACCCUGCGUGAGAGUCAGCACCUGUUUCUUCAGAGCUGCUGUCAAAAUAAUCACUGCUCCCCCCACGGCAGCCACAUGUGCAGCGCAGGGGCCCAGCAACCAUUGCAUGGGAGUGUCUGGCUCUGCCAGUGUACAGCAUACCUCUGGGUAGUCUGUGCUGCUGUGACAGAAACCAGGCCCUCGGGAGGCCCUGUGACACGGGUGCUUCCCUGAGGCAGCAGCAGUGUGCAGCUCAGGGGUCCUCUGAGGUUGGCGGUGCCCAUGGGUGGCACAGGGGCCUUCUUGUGGGCAGCACUUGGUCUCAUGUUUACAGCUUGGAGGGAUUCACAUAGUUACUUCCUGAAAUUUCUGGAAUUAAAAAAAGAUUUCUAUUUGGUCAGAAAGCUGCUAGGAAUAUCAUGUAAUUAGAAAUUCAGUAUUUAUAGAUAUAGAUAUAUUAAACACUGCUAAGGAGAUAUGGUUACAAUCUGUAACAGGUUUUACACUAUCAUAACGUUAUGGAAUUUUCCUGGAGGAUGUCAUUAGCUUCUGUUGGCACUUACUUGUGAGCUGUGUGUACACUGUGUUCAGGUUUCUGAAUCCUGUAGAGCACUCAUGUCUCUGACAGCGUCUUGCCAGGGCCGCCAGCUGUAUAUGCAGUGGGGCCGGCUGUCUCAGGGCUGACACAUAGACGUGUAUUGUUUACAAUGAGUUCCCCAACGCUGUGGGGAAGAACUUAAGUGGUUUUAAAGUGUUUUAUAAUGGUGAGGAAAUGAGGGUCGGGGCACGUGGUCCCUGAGGGAGGGUCUUCAGGGCAAGACCUAUGGCCCUGGGCAGGGACCGGUCUCCCCAGGGGUGGUGCCUUCCCAAGGGGAUGGUCAGUGCUCCUACGACUGCCAGGCCAGCCCUUCUGCAGACUUCGUGGUGGGGCCAGUUCCCUGGGACAGGAAGCUCCUCAGCCCCUUCCCUCCAGGGCAGGACCUGAGCCAGAAUGGGCGGGGCCGGCCUAGCUUCCAGGAAUGUUUUCUCUAUUAAAUGUACCUCUGUCUUUAAGCUGUGUCUCAUUUUCUCAUUGCUCGCAUGUCUUGCCUAGAAAAGCAUUUGGAAUUGCUUAUGUUCAGUUACAGAAAUAAAAUGUUUUAUUUCCUGUUGUAAAAUCCCUGCACUUUUGCAGAAAGGCUGUUUUGUAAAAAUCCAACCCCAAAAUAACUUUUUCCUAU